GUGGCGUACGGCUCAGGAACACGUAGUCGACUUACCCUGAGGACGGGGAUAACCUCGGGAAACUGAGGAUAAACCACGAUAGGCUAUAAUACCUGGAAUGGGUUAUAGCUGAAAUCUACAUGGCCUCAGGAUAGGACUGCGGCCGAUCAGGCUGUUGGCGGGGUAAUGGCCCACCAAACCUAUAACCGGUACGGGCUCUGAGAGGAGGAGCCCGGAGAUGGGCACUGAGACAAGGGCCCAGGUCCUAUGGGGCGCAGCAGGCGCGAAACCUUCGCAAUGGGCGAAAGCCCGACGAGGUUAAUCCGAGUGGCUUCUGCUAAAGGAGUCUUUUGCCAGCUGUAAGGAGGCUGGUGAAUAAAGGGCGGGCUAGUCUGGUGUCAGCCGCCGCGAUAAUACCAGCACCCUGAGUGGUCGGGGCGAUUAUUUGGCCUAAAGCAUCCGUAGUCGGUAU
rnacentral:rRNA from 1 species